rnacentral:rRNA from 1 species
AUUGAACGCUGGCGGCAGGCUUAACACAUGCAAGUCGAGCGAGCGGCGGACGGGUGAGGAAUGUCUGGGAAACUGCCUGAUGGAGGGGGAUAACUCCUGGAAACGGUAGCGAAUACCGCAUACCAUCAGAUGUGCCCAGAUGGGAUUAGCUAGUAGGUGGGGGAAUGGCGCACCUAGGCCACGAUCCCUAGCUGGUCUGAGAGGAGGACCAGCCACACGGGAACUGAGACACGGCCCAGACUCCUACGGGAGGCAGCAGUGGGGAAUAUUGCGCAAUGGGCGCAAGCCUGAUGCAGCCAUGCCGCGUGUAUGAAGAAGGCCGUCGGGUUGUAAAGUACUUUCAGUGGGGAGGCGUUACCCACAGAAGAAGCACCGGCUAACUCCGUGCCAGCCGCCGCGGUAAUAC